AUGAAGCUCCGAGUCUGGGUCAAGGUUAAACACCCUAUGGAAGAGUGCUCAUGUGCCUGGCGCUUUCUCUGUGACUCCUCUAUAAAGGUGAGGGGAAGACGGGUGGGAAGAAACGUGAUCUGCCCAGAGAGUUCAGUGCUGCGAACUGAUGGAGCGACCUCAGAGAGGUGGCAGAAAAAGACAGCGCUCGCUAUCGCUGCUCUGGGAGAGAGUGGGGGACCCCAAAACACCACCCACUUGCAGAACGACACCAUCCUGGAUUCACAUGUAAGCUGUCACAUUGCUGGGGCACAAGGGGAUGCAAUCUGUUCAGGGCUGGGUGCAUCUGGAGCCUGGGCUGGUGGAGCUCUCACGCUGCCGGUGCAGGUGUUGGAGCCAGUCCACCACGUUUCUUCCCUUCCUAGCAUCUCUCCGUGGCCUGGGUUCAUGCUUGGCCCCUCUCUGCUGGUUGCACGAAGACUAUAAAAUGGUAUGUGUCGUUUGGCAUGUCUCUGCCUGUUGUGGCUCCUUGGGAAAGCUCAGCACUAUGAGCCUACUGCCUUCCAGAUGCAAUGUCUACCAUCCCCACUCCUCCCGUCGAGCCAGCGCUGUCCCUGGUGGGAGUGUUUGCUACAUCAAAGCCCCGGUUUGUACUGCAAGCGGAUGAUUUCUCUGGUAUAUUUACACUUGUAAGGGAAGAUUUUUUUUUUCCCCCUUGUAAAUAUCACGGCACUUCUGUUGCUUCUGUGCUGGCCCAUCUGUGCACCAUUUUCACUUGUACUGACUCAUGUUCACAGAGUAGUAAGAGCCGUCGCUAAGUGUUUUAAUUUCUGCUUUAGAGUGGGCCCGUUUUGCUUUUCAAGUUAGUUCCUAGGCAGUUAAGUGAUGGUUUUCUUUUUUUCUUAAUGACAUCUCUGGGCUCCAUUGGUAUCUAUUUUAAUAGUUUGCAGGGUUUUGUUCAGAUUUUCCAAGAUUUCCACUCCUGUGUUUCUGGAAUUUGUUGUCAGUAGUGAGAUGUUUUUUCUGUGUGACAAGAAGUCACUGCGCACAUGCCCUCUCUGAAAGGCUGCAGCAAAAUCCUUAGUCUGUCGUAACACUGCAAGUUCAGAUAUUCCCCAAGAAUAGGCGAAGGUUGCUUGCACAGAUGGCAUUCAGGCCUCUUGAGCUGUGUUGUGCUCUUUUUCAUGAGUGAUCAUAAACUCGUUUUAUUCACCUCUAUCUCUUUGGGUAACCACAGUAGACAGCAGCUGUUUUGUGAACCACUCUUGAAUAUUUUGCCAUCACUGCUCCAACUGCACACAGGGUUGUCUUCAUUGUGCAUGGUUCAGACUUUGCUCUGGAGGUAGGCGGAUCACAAGCCCUUUCUCCUAGCCACUUCCCUGGCAUUCAAGGAGAUGGAGCACCCGUAUCCUCACUUCACAGGGGGAGGUAAGGCACAGAGAGAGCCUGUGAGCUACGUACCCUUUUGGAUACCUCAUGUUCCAGAGUCUGUGGCAGGAUGUUUGAUGCCACAGUUCAAAGCUCAGCUCUCGGUGACUUCAGCACUUAGCAGCUUUCCACGUGAGACCCUUGCACAGGAAGGGUUCAGGAGAAGCGAACGUGCAUUAGUGAAAGCCUUGGGCUAAGUGGCCCAUACAUCACAGAGCAGUGCCAGGAAGGGAUUGAGAGAGUUCAGUUAAGCACAGGAUUUGUAUACCUUAAUUAAGAGACUUUCCUCUCUCUUUAGAUUCUCUCUGUGUGGCUAUUACCAUCUCAUUCCUCCAACCUCCUACCAUGCCUUGCCCUCUCUACAUUAAAGUCCAAACAGAGCUCUCUCUUUUUUUUUUCUUUUUUUUUUUUUUUUUUCCACUGGUUAUAUGUGCUGAGAUCUCAGCUUAAACCAUCUUCUAGCUCUCUUCUGGCCAGGUCCUGCAGAGGCCCUGCUGCUGAAGGGAAUGCUUGCAGUGAAACCCUACUGAGCCCUGCAGCCGCAGGAGCAUCCCCAGGCCCUGCCAGGUGCCCCAUGUGUUGUCUCACCAGUGCCUGGCACAGUGGAGCAUUCAGCUUGCUCAGCACUGAGGACAGCCAAAGUAGCUGCUGGAUCUCUGCUGCACAUGUAUAAACAGCAAGUACAUAUAUCUGUAUCUAUCUGUAUGUCUAUCUAUAGAUAUUUAUGAGAAUGAGGCUCAAAACAGCCAAAUUCUGAUAUUUAUAUCAGAAAUAUAAUAUAUAUAUAUCAGAAAUAUAUAUAUAUUUCUUUCCCCCUCUCCCUAGGAAUAUGGAAGGACAUGCAUUUCACAGCAGCCGAGGCUGACAGUGCUUCGCAGUUCUGCUUUUAGAAGUGUGGAGUGUGAGAAGAUAUCAGUAAAUGACAAAAAGAUCCUUUUAACAGGGGCAAAAGAGAAUCUUUUCCCUCAAACGUAUUCUUGGAAAGACUUGAGCCAUUUCAGCUGAAAUGAAAAAGUUUAGCCUGAGGCCAAACCCAGCUGAAGAAAUUUUCAGCCUAAACAAUUAAUUAUAGAUGAAGUUAUGAGCAACCAAAACCAGAGUUAUACAAUAGUCAACUGUAAUUAUAGUGGUGCUUUUAACUCUGCCUAUAACAGAGGCAUGUAUGUCAAUGCAAAUUCUUGGGUUGGUCUCAGGAAGAGCCUUGUGGAGCUGUUUAUAAACCCGAGCUUUCUGAUCUGAGGGGAUGGGAGCGAGCAUUUUGCAUCAGAAAUAAUCUGCUUUUGAAAGAUGAAUUAACUGGUGACUUUCAAAGCUGUGUCUUGUCUGUACUCAGCAUUUACCUAGGGUCACUUUAGCCGUGAUAUUAUGUUUCUGCUCUACGUGGGAGGAAGGGCGUAAUGAAGAGGGAGCCUCCUAUGACGGAGAACAGCUCAGUCAUGAGAAAGCUGGGUUGGCAGAGAUUAAUGGGGAAGCAUCCUGUCUGCAAUAUCACCAUCUGAGCAAGCCUUUCCCGGGAAACUGGUAAGUAACCUCCCGAUGGAGGAGGUUGUCUGUUGUAAAAAGCAGUUCCUUGCUUGACAAGGGGAACACACAUACUGGAAAUAUGUCCUGAACAAACAGUUCCUAAUGGGGACCUUCAUGCCUUGCGCAGUCAUGGGAGAACAUUUUAGAAGCUUGCACAUGGGGGAAUAUUCUCGCCUGUGUCGGCUGCUAAGUUGAGCUACAUGUGAAUUCUUUCAGCAGUAGAGGUACUGCUGACAAACAGUCGUCUUCAGUGAUGAAAGGAGUGCAGGUGAGAGGAAACUGUGGGAGGAGAUCCUGCUCUGAAUUUCUUGUGGAAACCGUAAUUAUGUGAAUCAGUGUAGAGAGGUAUGAGGGUUUCCAGUGUAAGCUAUAAAAAAAUGCUUAGGGAAGCAAUCUACGGAUGAGACUGCUCAUUCAGAUCUUAUCUUACUCAUGUGGGAGCGUGGAAAUCUUUGCGUUCCACCUUAUCUCUUCUCCCCCGGGAGAUCAGUGUUGAGAGAGCUUGACCUCUCACUUACCAUUUCAAAUCAAACCCAGUGUAAUAGUGGCUUUGGCUGUGCAAUGCCUCAAUAAAUUAAUGAAAUAAUCUCGUUCCCUGCCA
rnacentral:lncRNA from 1 species